CACUUGAUUAUCCAACUUUCAGAACCAAUUGUUGCAUUCCCCAUGAUCACGUUUAGCUUUUUGUAAAUGCUAUGCUUUUCUGGGAAGCCAUGUGACUUGUGACACACCUUAACUUGACGGCAUAUUUAAGAACAGGGAAACAACACGAACACAGAGGGAGAGUCACCAAGUGAACUGAAGAUAACCAGUCAACUGAAGAGAAGUGCUCACUGCCCAGCUUUCUAACCCCAAUAGACACACACACAAUCACAAACAGCUUUCUAACCAACCCCACCAGACUCACUGAUAUAACAAACACACACACACACACACACACACACACACACACACAACCACAGACAUGUUUCAGGCAUCUCCUGGCAUCAUGAUGGCCCAGCCCUCUGUGAUGAUGGCCCAGCCCCCUGUCAUGGUGGCCCAGCCCCCUGUGAUGGUAGUCCAGCCCCCUGUGAUGGUAGCCCAGCCCCCUGUGGUCAUCCAGACCAACACUCCGACUGGUGCCGUUCCAGGAAACGUGGCGAUUGCCUCCAGCAAACUGGGGAGCAGACCCACCAUCACCACCUGCAGCAACUGCAGACAGCGUGUGGAGACUAAAGUCCGUUACACAAAAGGAUGUUUCUCUUGGAGUAUGUGCACCCUAAUGUUCUGUUUUGGGAUAGUGUGUGGAUGCUGCCUGAUCCCUUUCUUCUCAAAGAGCUGCAAAGAUGCCCAUCACUCCUGUCCUCAGUGUAAUGCUGACCUGUGUGUGCACAAGAAAUGCUGCUGUUAACAACACACUCAAAUGCCUUAUUAAAAAUCAUAACUUUUUACCAUU